GACGAACGCUGGCGGCGUGCUUAACACAUGCAAGUCGAACGGUAAGGCCCUUCGGGGUACACGAGUGGCGAACGGGUGAGUAACACGUGGGUGAUCUGCCCUGCACUUCGGGAUAAGCCUGGGAAACUGGGUCUAAUACCGGAUAGGACCACUGCCUGCAUGGGUGGUGGUGGAAAGCUUUUGCGGUGUGGGAUGGGCCCGCGGCCUAUCAGCUUGUUGGUGGGGUGAUGGCCUACCAAGGCGACGACGGGUAGCCGGCCUGGGAGGGUGACCGGCCACACUGGUGUGGGGAUACGGCCCAGACUCCUCCGGGAGGCAGCAGUGGGGAAGAUUGCACAAUGGGCGCAAGCCGGAUGCAGCGACGCCGCGUGAGGGAUGACGGCCUUCGGGUUGUAAACCUCUUUCAGCACCGACGAAGCGAAAGUGACGGUAGGUGCAGAAGAAGGACCGGCCAACUACGUGCCAGCCGCCGCCGUAA
rnacentral:rRNA from 1 species